rnacentral:rRNA from 1 species
CCUACGGGAGGCUGCAGUCGAGAAUCUUCCGCAAUGGACGAAAGUCUGACGGAGCGACGCCGCGUGAUUGAUGAAGUCCCUUUGGGACGUAAAGAUCUUUUAUGAGGGAAGAAGUUUAUUGACUGUACCUCAUGAAUAAGAGGCUCCCAAUCUCGUGCCAGCAGGAGCGGUAAUACGAGAGCCUCAAGCGUUAUCCGGAAUUAUUGGGCGUAAAGGGUGCGUAGGUUGUUUUGUUAGUCUUUUGUUAAAACCCCGAGCUUAACUUGGGAUAGGCGAAAGAAACGGCAAAACUAGAAAGUGUGAGAGGUGUACGGAACUCUAGGUGUAGGGGUGAAAUCCGUUGAUAUCUAGGGGAACACCAAAAGCGAAAGCAGUACACUAGCGCAUAUUUGACACUCAAGCACGAAAGCGUGGGUAGCGAAUGGGAUUAGAUACCCUAGUAGUC